rnacentral:rRNA from 1 species
AUUGAACGCUGGCGGCAUGCCUUACACAUGCAAGUCGAACGGCAGCACGGGAGUAAUCCUGGUGGCGAGUGGCGAACGGGUGAGUAAUACAUCGGAACGUGUCCUGUAGUGGGGGAUAGCCCGGCGAAAGCCGGAUUAAUACCGCAUACGAUCUGUGGAUGAAAGCGGGGGAUCUUAGGACCUCGCGCUACAGGGGCGGCCGAUGGCAGAUUAGCUAGUUGGUGGGGUAAAGGCCUACCAAGGCGACGAUCUGUAGCUGGUCUGAGAGGACGACCAGCCACACUGGGACUGAGACACGGCCCAGACUCCUACGGGAGGCAGCAGUGGGGAAUUUUGGACAAUGGGCGCAAGCCUGAUCCAGCAAUGCCGCGUGUGUGAAGAAGGCCUUCGGGUUGUAAAGCACUUUUGUCCGGAAAGAAAACCUCCGUCCUAAUACGGUGGGGGGAUGACG